GCCCAAGCCGAAGUUGCAAACAUGGCUCAAAGCAGAGACGGUGGAAACCCCUUCGCCGAGUCUGGCGAGCUUGACAACCCCUUUCAGGACCCAGCUGUGAUCCAGCAUCGACCCAGCACGCACUAUGCUACUCUUGACAGUCUACAACCCUUCUGAGACCCGGGAGCCACCACCAAGCUAUGAGCCUCCUGCCCCUGUUCCGAUAGCUCCGCCCUCAGCUCCACCCUUGCAGUCCUCAAGAAAACUCAGCCCCACAGAACCCAAGAACUAUGGCUCCUACAGCACCCAGGCUUCAACUGCAGCAGCCACAGCUGAGCUGCUAAAGAAACAGGAGGAGCUCAACCGAAAGGCAGAGGAGUUGGACCGAAGGGAGAGAGAACUCCAGCAUGCUGCCCUGGGCGGCACAGCUGCUCGACAGAACAAUUGGCCCCCUCUACCUUCUUUUUGCCCAGUUCAGCCCUGCUUUUUCCAGGACAUCUCCAUGGAGAUCCCCCAAGAAUUUCAGAAGACAGUAUCCACCAUGUACUACCUCUGGAUGUGCAGCACUCUGGCUCUUCUCUUGAAUUUUCUUGCCUGCCUCGCCAGCUUCUGUGUGGAGACCAGCAAUGGCUCAGGCUUUGGGCUCUCUAUCCUCUGGAUCCUCCUCUUCACUCCCUGCUCCUUCGUCUGCUGGUAUCGCCCCAUGUACAAAGCUUUCAGGAAAGAAGGGGCGACAAUAACCCCCUUCUAA